CCUACGGGGGGCAGCAGUCGAGAAUCAUUCACAAUGGGGGAAACCCUGAUGGUGCGACGCCGCGUGGGGGAAUGAAGGUCUUCGGUUUGUAAACCCCUGUCAUGUGGGAGCAAAUUAAAAAGAUAGUACCACAAGAGGAAGAGACGGCUAACUCUGUGCCAGCAGCCGCGGUAAUACAGAGGUCUCAAGCGUUGUUCGGAAUCACUGGGCGUAAAGCGUGCGUAGGCUGUUUCGUAAGUCGUGUGUGAAAGGCGCGGGCUCAACCCGCGGACGGCACAUGAUACUGCGAGACUAGAGUAAUGGAGGGGGAACCGGAAGUCUCGGUGUAGCAGUGAAAUGCGUAGAUAUCGAGAGGAACACUCGUGGCGAAGGCGGGUUCCUGGACAUUAACUGACGCUGAGGCACGAAGGCCAGGGGAGCGAAAGGGAUUAGAUACCCGAGUAGUC
rnacentral:rRNA from 1 species